AGUCGCAUACUUUUUGGAAUAAUUCUCAUUUCAAAUUUUAAUCAAGAAACCUAAACAUUUCUUCUAUUUGUUUUAAAAAUGCAUGGAGUGUUCAUAUUUAUUAUUGGCGGUAUUGUUGGUUUUCUAAUUGCUAAAAAUAUCGAUCGUCUAAUUGAAAUAGAUUGGAGUUGUUGAAAUUGAAGUACCAGAAGAAAUGUCUCAUCUCAUUACUUUUACUCUUGGCAUUGUAGUUGGUAUGAUGGUCUCGAGAAGCUGCAAUCCAUAAUCGAAAUGAACAAAAUAUAUUGUAAUCAUGUAAAUGAAAGUUUACUAACUUUGCCGCAGAGCUAAUUCAAUGAUUUCUUUAAAUACAUGUUUACCACAUUUUUAAAAUCAAGUCACGCACUUAAAAUAAAACAAGAAUGAAUUAAAAGCAAAAUUAUCUAAAUCUAUGAGAAAUUGAAAAUAUUCCUUUUUUUUUAAUCUAGCUCGCCUCGUUUUCUUCAUCAUACUAUUUUUGAAUAAUUCUCAUUAAAAAUUGUAAACAAGAAAUCUAAACAUAUCUCGGAAUAACUGUUUAAAAAAAUGCAUGGAGUUCUAAUAUUUAUUAUCGGUGGUGUUGUUGGUUUUCUAAUUGCUAAAAACAUUGAUCAAAUAGAUUGGAGAAGUUGGAGUUGAAAUAUCAGAAGAUAUGACGCAUCUCAUAAGUUUUGUUCUCGGAAUUGUAGUUGGCAUGAUGGUCUCAAAAAAAUGCAAUCCAUAAAAGAAAUAAACAAAAUUUGAUCAUGAUGUAAGAUGCUUGAACGAAAAUGGACAAUUAUUAACUUUGCCACAAAGUUAAUUUAAGUCUCUAAAUUGUGGCUGUUAAAAUUCAACGGUUUCUUACAAUACAAGCUUAUAUUAUUUUUAAAAUAAAGUUAUGUACUUAAAAAAAAAAAUCAGAUGAAUAAAUUUAAAGUACAAUUAUCUAAAUAUAUGAGAAAACGAAAAUAUCCCUUGCCUUUUUUAAUCUAGUUUCCCUCGUCUUUUUUGUUAGGUCGCAUACUUGUUUUGAAUAAUUCUCAUUUAAAAUUUUUAACACGAAGCCUUAACAUUUCUCGGAAUAAUUGUUUUAAAAAAUGCAUGGAGUUAUAAUAUUUAUUAUCGGCGGUAUUGUUGGUUUUCUGAUUGCUAAAAACAUUGAUCGUCUGCAGAUAAAUUUGAGAAGUUGAAGUUGAAAUACCAGAAAAAAUGACGCAUCUUAUAUCCUUUGCCCUAGGCGUUGUAGUUGGCAUGAUGGCCUCGAGAAGGUGCAAUCCAUAAUCGAAAUAAACAAAAUUUAAUAAUGUUGUAAGAUGCUUGAAUGAAAAUAGACAACUACUAACUUUGUCACAAAGCUAA